GACGAACGCUGGCGGCGUGCUUAACACAUGCAAGUCGAACGCUGAAGCUCAGCUUUUGUUGGGUGGAUGAGUGGCGAACGGGUGAGUAACACGUGAGUAACCUGCCUCCUUCUUUGGGAUAACGCCCGGAAACGGGUGCUAAUACUGGAUAUUCACUGGUCUUCGCAUGGGGGUUGGUGGAAAGGGUUUUUCUGGUGGGGGAUGGGCCCGCGGCCUAUCAGCUUGUUGGUGGGGUGAUGGCCUACCAAGGCUUUGACGGGUAGCCGGCCUGAGAGGGUGACCGGUCACAUUGGGACUGAGAUACGGCCCAGACUCCUACGGGAGGCAGCAGUGGGGAAUAUUGCACAAUGGGCGCAAGCCUGAUGCAGCGACGCCGCGUGAGGGAUGGAGGCCUUCGGGUUGUGAACCUCUUUCGCUCAUGGUCAAGCCGCAACAAUGGUUGUGGUGAGGGUAGUGGGUAAAGAAGCGCCGGCUAACUACGUG
rnacentral:rRNA from 1 species